AGAGGCCUGUGAAAGCCACUCUACUGAGUGGUACUGCUUGACGUGCCACACGGAGCUGUUUGGACGGGCUGUGGAGGAGGCCUGUGACUGGCCUGAGAGUGGCAGAGAGGAGAGAUGGAGAGCAGAGGGGAAGAGAGAACGUGGUCCAGUGCCCUCCACUGUGCCGCCUCCUCCCAGUUCAGAGCCCUUCCGUCUGUCCGGCACGGUAUGGAAAUCUGGAUAGGGCCCAACUCUAGAGGGACCCUGAGACCCAAAUCACUACUGGCAGGCCCCCAACAACAGAUAGACCGGAUCUUCACACGAAAGCAGUGCGGUAAGGGACGGAGUGAGAAGAUCACAGUGCUGAUUACAGACAUGAUUGUAGUUGAUAUGCAGCCAUUAUCAAUGGUAGAGGAUGUUGGCUUCAAUGCCCCAAUGGCAUAUCUAGAACCCGACUACAAGAUGCCAUGUCGGAAAACCGUGACAGCCCGGAUGGAGAAAUUGUACAAUGAUUGUUCUGCAGGUACGAAGCGCGAGCUCUCAAACACCCCAUACGUGGCGUUAACAAAAGAUUGUUGGACGUCUAGGAACACCAACACGCUGUCAUACAUUACUGCAACGAGCCAUCACAUUGAUGAGAAGUGGGACAUGUACUGACCACUUAGAACAUGGAGGAGAGGCACACAUCAGAGAACCUAAAAACAGCUUUAACUGUCAUCAUUGCUGAGAGGGUGGGGUACAGCAGGAAGGUGGGUAGUGAUGACUGGCUGUCUGCUAGCGGUCAUACGCAGGACUAUCUGCAUUGGGAAUUCAAUCGUAAUUUUUCUUGUUGUUCAAAUAUAUAUAUGUAUAUUUUUUUACAUUUGUCACAUUCCGUGUGUGUGUGUGUGUGUGUGUGUGUGUGUGUGUGUGUGUGUGUGUGUGUGUGCGUGUGUUUGUAGAAACUCCCUAGUGUGACAGGGGUCUCUAUUAAUACACUGUCGGUCUGAACACUGCUACCAGGAGACCAACUCGUGUGUGUGUGUGUGACGGACUCAGCCAAUCAGUCCCUUCGGGUGGAUGCGGUGGCUGCAGGGAGAGCUAUUACAGGCCAACAGGUUACUAUGGAGACCAGUGGCGUCAUAGAGGAGCAACGUCUGUAGACGAGGCUUGUUUGUCAAGAAAGGUUUUUAUCUCAGUUCCCUCCAUUUCAUUGUCCUCUCUCUUUAUCUCUGUCUUUAUCUCUCUUUUAUCGCUCUCUUUUAUCUCUCUCUCCGCAUGUCUACCGCUCUAUUAUCCCUCUCUUUAUAUAUGUCUCUUUUUAUCUCUACUGUUUGCUCUCUCUUCUGUGAGACAAAAUGUAAAAACAAUACCUAGAAAUGUAAUAAUAAAGGUUUUUUAUUCAGGCAGUGUUUGCUGAAGUGGAGCUCACAUUUGUAUUAACAUGUAGGUGAUGUUUGUCAUUCCUGUAGUUCUUAUUAAAUACAGUGUAGGUAAUGGUGAUCAGCAUGGUAGCAUUUGGCUGACAUUAGUAAAAGACGCUGAUACUUAUGGUGCUUAAAUUCCACUCACAUUUAGCCACCAGUGGAUCACCAUUGAUCACAUACCAGAUAACCACUAGGUUAUCUGCCGAGAAAUAAGGAUCUGAUCUAUAUAACAACUACUUUAGUUAGUUAUGUGUAUAACUACCAUUUUAUCUGUCUACAACAUAAUAAACCCACACAACACAGACACUAACCAGAAGCUUCGCUCGGGGUCAGUCUCCCCCUGUGGACAGCCCUCAUUCUGGGGAAGCAUUUAACCCCAGC
rnacentral:lncRNA from 13 species